GACGAACGCUGGCGGCGUGCUUAACACAUGCAAGUCGAACGCUGAAGCUCAGCUUGCGUUCGGUGGAUGAGUGGCGAACGGGUGAGUAACACGUGUGUAACCUGCCCCCUUCUUUGGGAUAACGCCCGGAAACGGGUGCUAAUACAGGAUAUUCACUGGUCUUCGCGUGGGGGUUGGUGGACAGGGUUUUUCUGGUGGUGGAUGGGCUCGCGGCCUAUCAGCUUGUUGGUGGGGUGAUGGCCUACCCAGGCCUUGACGGGUAGACUGCCUGAGAGGGUGACCGGGAACAUUGGGACUGAGCAACGGCCCAGAGUAGUAAGGGAGGCAGCAGUGGGGAAUAUUGCAGAAUGGGUGCAAGAGUGAUGCAGCGAGGGUGAGGGAGGGAUGGGGGCUGUCGGGUUGUGAACCUCUUUAGGUAAUGGUGAAGCCGCAACAAUGGUUGUGGUGAGGGUAGUGGGUAAAGAAGCGCCGGCUAACUACGUG
rnacentral:rRNA from 1 species